AGAUCUCAAAAAUGGGAGACCACAUGCAAAGGAAACUACGUUUUCACAACACAUGGUUGGAGAGGUCAAAGAAAAUGUGAUGUAUUACUUUCAGUUUUAUCAUCAGCGGGACCAUCUGGGGCUAGUGGUGGGGCUCGAAGAAGGAAGAAGAAAAUAAAGAAGAGAAUCAGAUCCCCAAAGUAGAGAGACUGAAUUACAGCAAUGACCUCGACUUGCAUUUACUAGGAUGAGCUGUUGUGAGAGUAAAUAUGAAAGCUGGAAUUCAUAAUUCAUUCAACCUGUGUUUCAUCCACUUACCCCAAACCAAAACAUAACAAUCAUUGAGCAUCCACCAUUCACAUGUAACUGUGGUGGAGAGAGAGAUGAAAAAACACAAUGCCUAACCUCAAGGAGUUUACACACUACUCAGAGAGAUAAAUACCAUAGACAAAUAAUUAUACUAUACUGUAAGGCUACUUGGGCUAAACCUAUACCAAAAUCACAAGGACAUUGAGGCUCAGUAAGGUGAGAUGACUUGCUCCAGAUCACACAGGGUUGAAGCUGAAAUUUUAAUCUAGAGUCCAGUUCCAGAAUCUGUGCUUAUAAACUGUGCUGUGCUGUAUUUGCUUUAAGAAUAUAAGGGUCAUUUCCUGCUUGAAUAAUCAAGGAAGGCAUGAUGGAAAAGUUAGGGGCAUCAUAAAACCCAAAGACAAUUCUGAUCAUAUUUUUACUUCAACACUUCUACAGGAAAGAAAGCCUUCCCAUCACUAAUAGUGAGUUCUCUGGCAGCAAGCCUCAGUCAUUGCAGCAGGAAUACUGCUUAAAUAUUAUACUGGUAUGUGUGGGGUAAUUUGAAGUCUACCAUCCAUCACCAUCACCACCAAACCUAAUGUAUGAGUUGCCUAUUCCUUCCCGGGAUAGCACACUGCACUACUGAGGAUCACUGUUCUAUGGAAGUAGUUUUCAAACUUGAGCAUGCAUAAAAAGAAGAGCGAAGAGGCUUGUUAAAUACAGCUCUCUUUCAGCAGGUCUGGGGUACUUACUACUAAUGAGCAGUUUUUAGGAAGCAUCCUAGAUGAUUCCGUGUAUCCAGGUGGGCCACAGAAACAUUUGCAAAAACAUUACAUCGGAGCCAUUGUUGACUAUCCCUAAUCUGUAAGAAGCCAAUAGUCAUCGAGACCCAAUGGAGCAAUGCAGCAGAAUGGGGGAAGCCCAGGGGGCAGAGUGAGGGCAUCACCAGGUGAGGAAAAGCAAGAUGGUAAGGCAGAAGGGAAUGGGGAAACCCAAACAAUGAAGAAAUAGAUAUCAUCUAUAUAUCUAUAUCUUUCAAUUUAUCUAUAUAUCCGAUUACCAACUUCAUCAGGAAAACCUAUUUCAGUUUGGUGAAUGGAAAGGGAACCAGCCAAAAAAUAGUUAUUAUUUUCAUACAUCUUAGUAUUUUAUUUUCCUAAGGACUAUCCUCAUGAAAUAUAUACAUACAUUAUACAUUUACACAUAUGCAUAUACAUAUUUGAGAAUACACACACUUUGGCUUCUUAGGCCAUCUUAGCUUUAUUUUAAAUAUAAAGAAACUGGUGCUGAUUCUGCAUAUCAUAUAUAUUUGACUAUACUUCUAUAAAGCAGAAGUCAAGAGCCAUGAUUAUUGUGCAACAGUAUCUGCACAAUUAGAAUAUUAGCAAUAGCACAGUUUUACUUUUGUUUUACAGUUUUCGAACUAUAAAUCAAGUAUGAAUGGCUGAUGGAAAGCCGAGGCUAGCAAAUAGAUGAUAAACCAUGUUACCAUGGGAGGUACAGAUUCAUUUUUAAUUUUAGUUUCUAUGUUAUCCCCAAGCAGCUUUUUUGUAUAUUGAUACGGAAAAUAAUGCCAUCUAUAUGCUGCACAACAGAAGUGUUGAUUUGUUUCUGUACCCCUUGGCUUGCAUCCCUGUUGUCAUCACCCAGCUGAUAUCAUUGUGACAUUUUGACAUUGCCUUGUGACACAGUGACCUGGUGCUUCCAGGAGCCUAGAAGGACAAGUUGACUAAGACACAUGGUGCAUUAGGAAGCAAUGAAGCAAUUCAUUACGGCUACAGAGAGAGUCUGCUCUGGAGACAAGAAUUCUUAUCUAAAGCACAAAAUACUCUCGAUUCUAUUUGCUGUUCUGCUACUGAUUUACUAUGAGAUCUGUAACAAAUAAUCUCAAUUCAUUUGUAACUUAGAUUUCCGUCUGUAAAAUGGAAAUGACCCAACAUAUGUGAUUUUUUUAAAAUCCUAGGGCAGUGAUUGCAUUUGCAACCCAUUCUUGCCAAAGAGAAAUUCGGAAGCACACUUCAAGGAACUAAGUUCAGUGAUAAUCACACUUGAUUGAUUUUCAGUACUGUCACAGUUUGAGAACUAUUUAUUGCCCUGAUUUGCUCUUUUCUCUGCCCUGUAUUAAAGAUCUUGCAUGACAGUUGAUCCAUGAAAAAAAAAAAAAA
rnacentral:lncRNA from 1 species